AUAGACUAUUGCAACUCUUAUUCUAGAACAGGCCAGUACGUUUCUUGGAGAUACUGUGCAAGAAUGUGCAGCUUGCUCUUUAUCCACCUAUUACUUUUCUAUGCUUCGCUGGGUUACAUACCAGCCCAUAUUAAAGCUAGUUAUGAAGAAAACGGGUAUUUAUGCUCGACACUUCCUUGAAAAAACGCGUUGUAGUAAGUGAACGAAGAAAUCGGCGGGGCAGAUGUAACAGAGAUAUCGGCGAAAGAUGCACUAUGAACAGUGAUUGCCAAGCGGAUCUAUGUUGUGUGUGGCAACGUCAAGCACCAAGAUGUCAAUUGCAGGCGGAAAUGGGCGAACGCUGCGGUUUUUUUCUAUUUGGGAGAAGCAUUUACAUUGGCCAUUGUGGUUGUGCAGUUUGGGGCGCGCGCUGUAUAGGAGGAAGAUGCAGAUAAUAAGAAUUUCUUACCUGCCACAUUGCAUCAGAUACACGUCAAAGAAAUUAAUUUCUUCGUCAUGUGCUGAUAUGUCAAGACGUUUGUACUUUACAACAUUGUAUUGAUGCAUUCGCUCACAGAAAAUAUCAACUGACAGAAACCUAAAUGCUUAUUUUAUUCUUUCAAGGCUAACUUCAAUGCUUUGUGAUUAA
rnacentral:lncRNA from 1 species